rnacentral:rRNA from 1 species
GACGAACGCUGGCGGCGUGCUUAACACAUGCAAGUCGAACGGUAAGGCCCCAGCUUGCUGGGGUACACGAGUGGCGAACGGGUGAGUAACACGUGGGUGACCUGCCCCGCACUUCGGGAUAAGCCUGGGAAACUGGGUCUAAUACCGGAUAGGACCGCACCGUGAGGGUGUGGUGGAAAGUUUUUCGGUGUGGGAUGGGCCCGCGGCCUAUCAGCUUGUUGGUGGGGUAAUGGCCUACCAAGGCGGCGACGGGUAGCCGGCCUGAGAGGGUGGACGGCCACAUUGGGACUGAGGCACGGCCCAGACUCCUACGGGAGGCAGCAGUGGGGAAUAUUGCACAAUGGGCGGAAGCCUGAUGCAGCGACGCCGCGUGGGGGAUGACGGCCUUCGGGUUGUAAACUCCUUUCACCAUCGACGAAGGUUUUCUGACGGUAGAUGGAGAAGAAGCACCGGCUAACUACGUG